CCGAAAAAAGGAAGCAAACACUCUCCUCAUAUUGACAAUAUAUUUUUGACAUUCUUAUUCUAUCACAAAAACACAACGUUUGGUUUAGAUGUGAACAAUACAAAAUUGUUUACUUUGAGAAUGCAAGUCACGAGAUGAAAACGUGCACUCGAGCAAAUUGUAUAAAUUGGGAUAAACGUCCGAAAAUGUCUUUUAGAACGGUGCAUACUGAGUUAUAAAAUGAACAUUUAACUGUACCGGGAGUUCAUAGUGCGUUGACAUCGUCCACGUCGUUACUAUCAGGAGCAUCCGUACCGUCCCACGCGUCUUUCGUGCCAAUUUAUACACCGAGGUAUGGAAACUACGUCAAGGAAGCAGAUUCGAAAAAUCCACCCGAUACAUACUAUAUACUAUCAGAUGCAAACGAAUUGGUAUAGUAUAUAUAUGAGGAAACACACUUUUACAGUGUUUUAAAAUGCGAAUAAGGGUUUCACCGGAGAGCGGAUGCAGUGGUUUUCAGAGUAUUAGACCAACGUGCUGAGAUGAUCAUCUAUUUACUGGUAGUAUGGCAUAUUGUAAACUCGCACGGGUAACUACCACCAUACUGUUUUUUUCUGCCGCGAAGUUAUGUUUAUGUUAUGCUUUUUAGUUAUACUUUACGGUUUAGAAUGUGCGACAAAUAUUUUACAAUGACACUUCAAGCUCAUGUCUUAAAGUGUGUGGCGACAAUCACAUGAUAUCUAUGGUAUGCGGUAACCACUUCGAACUGAUUGAUCUAGUUUUUUUUUACGAGGAACCUUUGUAGGCGGUGGAAUUUUGUUGUUUAUCUCUCGGUAACACCACAGCUAUCAAUAAUUACGGAGCCCUGAAAACGUAGCAAUUGCGUUUACCUUUUAGGGUUCUAUAACCGUAUGAAAACGGUAUCCUUAUACAUUAUCAUGUCGGUAUUUAUAUUGCGUACUUUUCGUGAUAUGUGAUACUUUCAUUUACUCGCUCAGCGAACAAAAAAUUAAUUACUUAGAAUACCUACUAACUGUGAAAGUUCACGAUUGCAAAAACAAUAUAAUUCCCAUUAGGAUCAGUCAUCAGUCUUUAUGCAAUGCAAUGACUCUGAUAGCUUCUGCUAACUCAGCGGUAGAUUGAGUAUCGUGAGCUUCCAAUAUCGCCUUUAAUUCGUCGUUGAUGACUUUAGUUUCCGGGCGACUACGGGGUUCAUUCCUACGGGGUUAGAACAAUAUUUCCACAUCGGAAGCGUUCAAAAGCUUAACGGGUCGUGCGCUCGUUUGUAGUGUUCACUGUGUAUACGUCAUUAGUGUUCUGAGCCACAUGUACGACAUUGCUACCGUGAUGGAACUCGUAUUUUAUUAUUGCUCAUAUUUUUAUCGAGUCCAUACUGAUGAACAAGACAAGUGGAGAAUUGAAAUUUUAUUUUCAACAAAACCCUAAUCAAUAAAGAUAUGAAUUUGAAAAUCGAAUUCCAUUUUUUUAAAUAAAGUUCAUUUUAAUUUAGAAUUUAUUGCUGGUUAUAAAUACUUGAUUAUUAUUAUUAUUUAUUUAUAUUUAUUUAAAAUCUUAUUAAUUACAUAAUAUUUUUUAAAAAAGAUAUUAAAAAUACAAUUUUUAAAAAACACUAUAUAAAAAUAGAUUGCCGCUGAUGGUGGUGUCUACGACACAAGCCACCAGUGGUUAGGACUCCAGAGUGAGAAUCCUCCUCACAAUGCGUGCAGUAUCGAGGAUAACUGCUUUCUGUAUUAGGCCCUUAACCCAGCUGGAUAACGAAAGUUUCUUAAGAUGUUGAUCGAAACUUUUCGCUAUCAAGCCGUGUACCGAUACAACUAUUGGAACAAUGAUGGUUGAAUCAACAUGCCACAUGGCGGUAGUCUCGUGGGCCAGGUCUAAAUAUUUUAUUAAUUUGUCCUUUUCUGCCUUCACGAGGUUCUCGUCAUGAGGAAUGGUGACAUCAACCAACAGUGCUCGACGCGCAGAUCGAUCUAUUAUCACAAUAUCAGGUUUAUUGGCAACAAUAUACCUAUCCGUGAUAAUAGAUCGGUCCCAGUAGAGCGUAACAUGACCAUUAUCAAGAACUGGUUGAGGUUGGUAUUGGUAAUAAGGUACAGCAGAAUCAAGAAAACCAUAUUUCAGAGCAAGUUGUUGAUGGAUAAUCCUAGCCACUUGGUUAUGUCUAUGCAAGUACUCGCCGUUAGCAAACCGAGAACAGCCAGAAACAAUAUGUCUAAUAGACUCUCCCGGACGGUGGCAUGCCCGACAAAUGUCGACCGUCCCAUCCUUUAGUAUAUAUUUCCGGUAGUUGUUCGUCAUGAUAACUUCGUCCAUAAUUGCAAAGAUAAAACCUUCAGUUUCCCCAAAGAGGUUACUGAAAAUAGGUUAUUAUUAUUAUUAUUACAUAUUAUGUUUCAAAUGGCCAGUGUUAAAAAACGGCAACUUCAUAGGAAAACGCCUAAUAUCAAUUACUUUGAAUAUCAACCGUGAAAGUUCGCGGUUACAAAACAAUGUUGUUCCGUGGUUGUUCCCAUUAGGACAUCACUUUUAUGCAAUGUAAUGUGUCUCGGGCAACGGCACUGUAACACAAUAUUUACGCUCUCUUCGGCACGUCUUAUAAUACAUGGAACAAAAAACGCAUCCAUUCAAUUACAAUCAAAUCUGAUAAAACACCUAAUUCGGAAAAAGAUAUGAAACUGGCGUAACGAUAUAAUGGCGUAAUUGUAAACAUAGCUUUGUUUACGUGCAGGUUACCUACUUACACAUUUAUUUACAUUAUUCAUGUUACGUAUCUAAUAUGCCUUUACACAUAUUUGAAUUCGCAAUCUCUCGAUAUAGCAGAUAAAUAAAAAAUUCCAGCGUUGCUCAUUGUUUCAGAGUUAAAUGUAAAUAUUAUUUAUGUUGUAAACUGUUAAAUAUGUUCGGACACAGUAAACUAUGCAAAAGCUAAUUUGCAGAGAUCUAUAUAUUAAUACGUGAAGCAAAAACUUUGUAUCCCUUUUUACGAAAAAUGUGCGGACGGAGGAGUAUGAAAUUUUCCACACUUAUAGAGAAUAUAGAGAAGAAGUGCACAAUGCUAAUAUUUUUUAAAAUAAUGCAUAAAAGAUACAUUAAAUCAAUAAAGAAAACAUUACACACACUACAUACCAUGUAUUUGACGCACACACGCAUGCAUACUAUUUAUUGUCAAACUUUUGUUCUUGACGUCUGUUGUCAAAUUGAGAUUAAAUAUUGUUUGUCUUUGUUAAUAUUUUUUAUAGUGUAGUCUUGGCGAAAUUUGUAAUUAUAGAAGUAUAAAAUACAAUCAUAAUAGUGUACAAACUUACAAUUCCAAUUAAUUAUAGUCGAAUUUCGACUACUGCGGGACCUCUAGUAAUGAUUAAUUGACUUAAGAUAGUAAUCGGUAAUCCUUGAUAAACUUGGAUUGAGAAGAAAAUUGGCAAUUACAUAUUUUGAAAUUCCUAGAAAUAGUACUACUAUGUUAGAGUUACUGUUCACGAAAUAUCUCAAAUGUUUUCUUUGUAAUUAGAUUCGGUAUUAAAUGUACAAUUACAAAACUUUCUAGUCUAAUAAGUAUUAGACAGAUUGAACUUUAUUUAACAUAAUAAUAUACAGGUUUACAUAUAGUAAUACAGGCCUUUUUUUUCAUGUUAUUCCUAGUGAAUCCCAGCCACGCCAGUUACGCUGCGAGUAUCGGGUUAUUUUUUUUUAAAUCGACGUAUUCCUUUGUAUUGCCUACCGUAAUUGUUUUCUCAAUUGGUCAAUUCCAGUCUAUUGACAAGACUUAAAUAGUGAACCGUCUAAAUUCAUAGAAACAUAUUUUAAUCUAUACCUACUUUGUAGCGUUGCAGCUUGUAAUAUGAACGUUUUUAUGUUUCUCAGAUUCGUUUCUCAUUUCCGAGCGCAGCGCAUUAUACAAGAGUUCUUCUUAAAUUGUCAUUAUCUCCAUAUUUUUUUGCAGCUUCUUUGGACUCUUCGUCGUCAUUGUGCUACCUUGUGGAUCAGAUAACCAAUCGAUUGCCAAAUCAUAAUAAUUGUAAAUGUGGCUUUUACUUCAUUUAUACAUUUUUCAUUCUCGUAGAUCAGCAGACGGAGUUCCGGCACGACUACUUUUUAAGCCGUUGUCUUGGCAAGUGAACUCUUUCAAACCGGAACACAAGAUUAUUUUUUUAUUUCAAAAAUAAGUUCCGUCAUCUCGAUCACUAUAUUUUAUUAACCGUUUAAGAUUUUCUUAGAGAUUAAAACAAUAAGGCCGCCCAUUGUUACUUGUAUUCAUAUUUCAUUCUAAGUUUAAUGUAAGCUGGAAUCUUUAUUUUGUAACUUAUAUUAUUGUGUAAAUAAUGAAUUUGAAUACAUUAUUAAUAUUUUUAUUUAA